rnacentral:lncRNA from 1 species
UAUUGAAGUAGCAAAGAUUGAAGUAGCAAAGACCAGGGGUUAAAGGGCAAUCAGAGGUGACAGAUAUUAAACAUGUGCGUCUCAUUGACAUACAGGUAAAUUCAGAUCAGAUUUCAUAUCAAGUCUGUUUACUGCCAGGCGCAUUUACCAACAUUAUAUAGACUAUAUUGUCUAUAUACACAGAUUUAUCACACUAAGAAACCAAAACUUUAUAAAAAAUAUAGAACUGACAGUGGCCAAAGUCCAAAACAAAUGUAAGCGUAACAUUAGACGUCACAUGAAAAAACUUUAGAAAUUCGAUAAAAAUUCGAUGGUGGGUCCUCGCGCGCUCACUUUUCCCUCACUAGAAACUUCAUGUAUUAGCCAACAGGAGGAAUCUAGGGGCCCCAUCUAGCGUAUAUUUUAUAUAAGUGUACUUGUAGGCGAAACGCCAGAAAUUUUUUUUGCAGGGCACCGCAUUUUAGUACUGUGUCUGGUUUUGUCCCUAAUUCCCCUCCAUAGCGAGCUGCGAGGAGCUUCGUGCGAGGACUGGAAGUCCGCCUUUAAGGCCCGUUUCACACGUCCAAUUUCGGUCGCGUCGAAUGCAAUUCAAACAAUAGAUAAUGAAGCUUAACGAGAUUUAUCAUAUCAUUAUCUAUUGUCUUAUUUGCAUUCGACGCGACCAAAAUUCGACGUAUAAACAGAGGCGUAGCCAGGGCUGGGGCCGGGCCCGGCCCCCCUGGCAAAAUUUUGCUCCCCCCCCUAAUAAAAUGUAUUGUAUAAAAUAGGGAAUCCUUGAUUAUAUAGCUUCAUGUUGAGACCCGUCGGAAAAUUGUCAAUGUUGUCGGAAUCUUCGUGGCGAAGUAUCGAAAAUACGGAAAUCGGGAAAAGUGCUACGAAAGCAAUUAUAAUGUUAUUGUCCGGAAAAUUUUUUACCAAAAAAGUUGUCGACGGGGGGGAAUUUAAAAUGUUGUGGUCCGGAAAAUUUUUGGCCCCACCUGGGUUUUUGCUGUCCCCCCUGACCAGAAAUCCUGGCUACGCCUCUGCGUAUAAAACAGGCCUAAGGGAUUUAGGACCCAUCUCUUUUAGUAAGUUCUUUCUGCUUUAAGUGGUUCCCAUCCUAAUGCAUUAAGUGCAACUGUUGAAUCCAGGUCAUUGCUCAUAUUCAUUAUAAUACGACCAGCAAUAGCGAAACCAACUUCGAGGAGCUUAUACAAAACCUAAAGCUUUUGUUUCUUGUAAAAAUGACACAGCGAGUAAAUUUAUUUAAUGAUUGACUUUUGUGGUAUGAUACAGUCAAACAGCAUGGGUCUUUGUCGAGAAUAAAAUAGGGAGUUUACGCAUGUAAGACGGCGGACUUCGGUCUUGAUCGCCGAGCGCGACUUGACCACAUCGGUAUCUUUGACCAUAUCGGUAUCUUUGACCAUUUAACACCUAAAUUACAGGAACUCCUAUACGAAGCUAAACGCUUUAAAACGGAAAACAACUAUCAAUAUUGCUGGUCGAAGUCUUCUGCCGUCUUUCUCCGCGAGAAUGCAGAAUCUCGAGCGAUAAAACUUAGAAAUAUGGGGGAACUUGAACGUCUGAAAUCAGAAAAUGGUCACACGACAACAAAUAGCUAAAUACAUGGAGCAGAAUUUUCUAUACAAUAUAUUGGCACAGGGGCGGAUCCAGCCAAAAAUCUGACCGUAGCAUUUUCCAAGACCUCGCAUAGCUAGGGGGGUCCGGGGGUAUGCCCCCCCCGGAAAAUUUUUGAAAUUUGAAGCCCGGAAAUGCCAUUUCCUGCGUUCUGAGCACUGCAUGUGAC